rnacentral:rRNA from 1 species
UGGGGAAUAUUGGACAAUGGGGGAAACCCUGAUCCAGCCAUGCCGCGUGCGUGAAGAAGGCCUCAGGGUUGUAAAGCGCUUUCGGCGGGGAAGAUGAUGACGGUACCCGCAGAAGAAGCCCCGGCUAACUCCGUGCCAGCAGCCGCGGUGAUACGGAGGGGGCAAGCGUUGUUCGGAAUUACUGGGCGUAAAGGGCGCGUAGGCGGGCGACUAAGUCAGAGGUGAAAGGCCUGGGCUCAACCUGGGAACUGCCUUUGAAACUAGUUGUCUAGAGUCCGGAAGAGGAUGGCGGAAUUCCCAGUGUAGAGGUGAAAUUCGUAGAUAUUGGGAAGAACACCAGUGGCGAAGGCGGCCAUCUGGUCCGGUACUGACGCUGAGGCGCGAAAGCGUGGGGAGCAAACAGGAUUAGAUACCCUGGUAGUCCACGCCCUAAACGAUGAUUACUCGAUGUUGGCGAUACACUGUCAGCGUCCAAGCGAAAGCGUUAAGUAAUCCACCUGGGGAGUACGCUCGCAAGAGUG